rnacentral:rRNA from 1 species
AUUGAACGCUGGCGGCAUGCCUUACACAUGCAAGUCGAACGGCAGCACGGGAGCAAUCCUGGUGGCGAGUGGCGAACGGGUGAGUAAUAUAUCGGAACGUGCCCAGUCGUGGGGAUAACGUAGCGAAAGCUACGCUAAUACCGCAUACGAUCUAUGGAUGAAAGCGGGGGAUCGCAAGACCUCGCGCGAUUGGAGCGGCCGAUAUCAGAUUAGGUAGUUGGUGNGGUAAAGGCUCACCAAGCCGACGAUCUGUAGCUGGUCUGAGAGGACGACCAGCCACACUGGGACUGAGACACGGCCCAGACUCCUACGGGAGGCAGCAGUGGGGAAUUUUUGGACAAUGGGCGCAAGCCUGAUCCAGCAAUGCCGCGUGCAGGAUGAAGGCCUUCGG